GAAAGGAAGCCGGGAGCCAUCUUGGGAUGGAAGCCAGGAGCUGCCGGUAGAGUAUGAUGGUGCAGGAAACUCGCAGCCAGCACAGCAACUCAAAGACAGAAUGGACUGACUCUCUGUGGACCUGGGGUCUGACAGUAGGGGUGAAGAAAGCCACGUGAACAUUCCCUGUUCCUGAGGGGAGCCAACUCUAGUGACCCAUGCCCACUCAGCACUUCCUGCACAUCCUUCACCAAAGGUGGUUGUUUCCAGGGCUUCACGUGCACGCAUGAACCUGGACUAGAGAAGUGCCCCUUACAUGGGAUUCGCAAAUGGGAAAAGCUGGGUGGAGCCUUAAAAAUGUCCACUCCUUCAAAGGAGACAACCAAGGAAACAAACAGAAAACCCACAGAAUGGGAGAAAAUCUUC